GGGGCUUCUUUUGGGGGUGUACAGGUGGUGCAUGGCUGUCGUCAGCUCGUGUCGUGAGAUGUUGGGUUAAGUCCCGCAACGAGCGCAACCCUCGUUCUAUGUUGCCAGCACGUCCUUUCGGGGAUGGUGGGGACUCAUAGGAGACUGCCGGGGUCAACUCGGAGGAAGGUGGGGAUGACGUCAAGUCAUCAUGCCCCUUAUGUCCAGGGCUUCACGCAUGCUACAAUGGCCGGUACAAAGGGCUGCGAUCCCGUGAGGGGGAGCGAAUCCCAAAAAGCCGGUCUCAGUUCGGAUUGGGGUCUGCAACUCGACCCCAUGAAGUCGGAGUCGCUAGUAAUCGCAGAUCAGCAACGCUGCGGUGAAU
rnacentral:rRNA from 1 species